ACCGUCUGCUUGUGUCCUUUCUCUCUCUCGCCCAUCUUUUCCAGGAUUGACCCCCUUUGCCCCCACGAAUAACUAGGUCCCGAGGGUCGGGGCAAAAGGCAAGCCUGGGAGAGGCCAGCUGAGGUGUAGCCGGCUCAGCCCCCAGGAGGGCAGUGUGGGAAAUUGUGAGGAGAGAGCUGAAGGUGCAGCAGAGAUCUCGCAGGUCCGGAGACGACAGAGACCUGAAAAGGCUGCGGAGGAAAACCAUGGGCAGUGAGCAGAGCCAAGCCCAGGGGAGAGGUCACGUGCACUAAGGCCAGCAAGGCCAGAGCAGUGAGCACACACCUUGAAGCUCACAUCAUGUCACCGUGUGCCCCUGGACGCAAAACAGGGCUAUGCAGGAUUUGAUCUCCCUGUUGGUUCUCUGGCCUCUUUUCUGUUCUCCUGUUCACCCCGAAAGAGUGAGGGUGUUUGCUGUGUGAGGUCACAUGUUUUUGGCUUUUGUAAACCUGCUUUGACUCUCAGUUUCCGUUUGGACUGUUGCUUGACACUGAGAUUGCUGAGACUCUUGGAGAGAGCCUCCGUGCGGCCGCCGCUGCGCACAGGGCAGCCGCAUUGAGUAGAGUCACAUUCUCGCAACCGUCUUUAUUUGAAGAUCGAGUGCGGUCUGAGGGAAUGUGUGAGUUCGUCAGACCGGCACAGGCUGGCACCGCACGGGUUAAUGUCGACUGUCAAGCUGACGGAAUCGAGAGACACCUAAGAAAUUAGUGAAGAAACAAUUACACGGUGGAGCCUCUGACGUGAGCGCUGAUUGAAUCCGUUGAGAGUCUAAUUUGAGAGGGACUGUUGGGAAGCGGAACUGUGCAAAGGGAGGCCCAAGGGGAGGAAGCGGGUCACUGGGACUGUGGCUCAGAGGGUCCAUCUUGGUCCUGGCCCCCUCCUCUUUAUCUGGCUGCUGAGAUGAGCAAGGUGUCCUCCGCCUCGUCCCUCCUCUGUGGUGUUCCCGCCUUGCUACAGGCCUAAAAGGGAGGAAUUGACCAAGCACUGGUCAAAGCCUUUGAAACCGUGAGCCAAAAGGAAUCUUUCUUCCCUUAAAUGGUGUAUCUUGGCUAGGUUGUCCCUGCGGGGAUUUGCUGAAUGGAAUCACACCCACAUCUUCCAAAUCCAGUGUGGGCUGUCACCCGGGCUUGCCGGAAUGAAGCAGGUACUCCUGGGGCCUGGGCUCCCUGGCUCAUGAUUUUUUUUUUCCCUGCCAAGGUCAAGGCUGGGUGGCUCCACAGCAGGGAGUAAGGACUUGGCAAUCCAACUGCACCUGAAGCAGGCUCCCCAGCCACCCAUUAUUUCAAUGACCUACACCAUCACAGUAUCCAAUAGCCUGCUAUGUCUGGAUCCAGCAGCCGCCUUCCUGGACUUCCAGGAGCUGGUUGUUUUGUAUCGUUUUCAUCUGCAACAGUGGCUAUACUUCCCUCUUCCCAGCAUGCCCCGAGACCUGCCCUUCAACCAUCCUCUUGCUAUGUAGCUCUCCCACCACGAUUUAGGGUGAUGGCUGUCUCCCAUUCCUCUGCAAAUAGAUGUUUUUUGUUUUCGUUUCUUCUGUCGUUGAUUCUCGGCUGCCUUUCUGCAGGGUCGGGGUAAAUGUACCAACCCACGGUGUGCUGACCCUCAGGCCAGGGCUCUGCCUUUCUGCACAGAAGACUCUGACGUGCGGAUCAAACCACAAGGGCAGGGGUACCCAUGGGUCUGUUUCUCCCUGGCUUCUGAGCCCCUGGUGAGAAAGGGCUGGUAAGCAUUCCUUUCUGUGUGUCUGGUCUUAGCACAGCCAGAUGGGAACACAGGCAGUGGGUAGAAGCCAGUAUUCUUCUAUGCCUAGUGGUCUUUUGCCUUCUUUCGGGGUCCUAUCCGGACACCUCCCAGCUCUGCCUCUCCUUCUGCAGGGCCCAUUAUUCCUUUUCCUGACACCCUGCGAAGCCUGUGUGGAGUCAGAUGUGGGUGGAGAGACAGAGAUCAAAGGAGCAGCCGGGGAUGCUCUCCAGACCCGGGCGCAGACACAGGCAGAUGUGCUACUCUUCCUCACUGUUCUGGGGUGGCUGGGUUCAUCCAGGCAGCUCUUCUCUCUCACAUGUCAGUAGCUGAGACAGUCAGGGGGCACUUAGAGGGCAUGGCACCCACAAGAUGGCUCAUACGCAUGGGUAUACCUUGGUGGGCAGUGGGAAGGCUGUUUCAGUAGGUUAUGGGCAUGGCUGGUCCUCUCUCUCAUACUCUCUCUUUCUGUGUCUAUCAAUUAAGUAUAUUCUUUCAUCCAUUCCCUCAUUUGUAUAAAUCACAUCAUGCAGUGUGUUAAGAUACCCAGCACUAGCUAGGGGCUUAGUUUUAAACAUGGAAAAAGACAACCAGGUCCCUUCCAGUCUGGGGGAAGCACCAGGGCAAAGCCCUACUCAUAAAUGCCAAAUUACAGCCGCCAGUAAUGACCAAGGCAGGGAGAUGGAGGAGACCAGGGGUCAGAGGUGCUGGGGGCUGGCCUUUCCCAGGGGGAGGAGGAAGAGCUCGCACUGAACCCCAGGGCAGAAAGAGCUGGGGUGUGAAGGAAGCUACCGAGACAGGGAGCUUUGCGAAGAAGAGCCUGCCAUUGAAGGUGUGUGUGUGUGUGUGUGUGUGUGUGUGUGUGUGUGUGUGUGUGUGUUUGUGUGUGCAAACGUGCGGGGCAUUCUAGAGGCCUCUGCAGAGCUUACAGGUGAGGCCAGGAUCCAUGUUUGUGGUAGCUUACAUUCGCUGUCACUUGACUGGAGGUGAGUCAUCUAGGGCAGGGGUUUCCCACUCCUUCCUAAGGCUGUGCCCCUUUAAUACAUACAGUUCUUCAUGGUGUGGUGACCCCCCCAAUAAAAUUAUUCCAUUGCUACUUCAUGACUGUAAUUUUGCUACUGUUGUGAAUCAUGACGUAAAUAUCUGAUGUGAAGGAUAUCUGAUCCGAGACCCCUGUGAAAGGCUCGCUUAACCACCACAGGGGUCACAACCCACAGCUUGAGAACUGCUCAUCUAGAGGUUGGAGGCGUGCCUCUGAGCAUGUGUCUGUGAGGGUUUUCCAGAGGACUAACAGAUGGGUAAAACCCAGCCUGAAUGUGGAAAGAGGGCACCGUCCCAUGGGGCUGGGGUCUGAAUGGAAUAAAAGGAGGAGAAAUUCAGCCAAGCAGCAGUGUUCCCGUGUCUGCGUCCUGGCCCACCAUGACGUGAACAGCUCCCCGCUGUAGAGGAAUUUUAAUCCAGCAACGUGGCUGCUCUGGCAAGGGAUCGCAUCCAAGACACCGUGUGGUCUGGCACCAGGAGGCCUCUGAUCCUCCCCCACAGCCUCAGCUACAUCACCAGGAAGUUUGGCCAACUGUGGCAAAAAACAAUAUGGCAACACCUAACGCAGACAGGUCAACGAAAGCCUGUUGGGAGAAGGACUGGGAACUUCAGGCAGUGUCAUGCCUGUGCCAGUGGAUCUGUGUAAUUCAGGUGAAGACCAAGGUGGGACUGUCUCAGGGCCAGGCCCCGGGGUGCCUGAUACAGGCGCCUCAUCAACUUCCAUAGCAGCCUAAACUCUCUAGUAAAAAUUUCAACCAGGCAUAGAGGUGUGCACUUGUAAUGCCAGCAUUUAGGAAGCUGAGGCAGGGGGAUGGCGGGUCUGAGGUCAGCUCAGGCUGUAUGAUAAAGUUUUCUCUAAAAUACAAACGGAAAAGGCCAGGUGUUUUUCUCAGUGCCGGCUGGGACUAAAAUGUCUCUAGCAAUGGCAGGAUGGACACUUACUCUGACGGUCGAGGUUAUGGAUCCCUAGCUUCUAGACACCCAGUUCUAGAAAGAUGGUUUCCCCUUGAGAAUGUAUCCUCCCCACACCCACCCUGUACCCCAGCCUCUUGGGGUCACCUCUACUGGCUCCAACACAACUCAUGGCCAGCCACAGCCCAGGGUCUCUCUGACACACGUGCCUGAUUGAAGGUGGGCCUAAGACAAGCCAGUCCAACCAGAGUAGCCCUUCUUUAAAACUCUGCCUGGGGCAGACUCUUGGCCUGAACUUGAAUCUCAGAGAAUCAAAUGCCAAGA